rnacentral:tRNA from 1 species
GGGGUGGCGCCGAAGCAGGAGAGUCGGGCCUGCCUGUAAAGCAGGUGCUCAGCGCUGAGUGGGUUCGAAUCCCACCCACCCCACAA